rnacentral:misc_RNA from 1 species
GGCCUAUGCUGGCUCAAGCGUUAUCCAUCCAAGCUCAUAGCUGGUUCUGAUAAUGGCUCACUAAAAUUAUAUGACGUUGAGCAUAUGCCCCCAACACUUAUGGGAAUACAUUCAGGUGCUGGCUCAGUCACCUUUGAUGAUUUUGACCAGUUGACAUCUGUUCAUGUUAAUGCUACGGAUGAGCUAUUUCUUGCAAGUGGAUACUCAAAAAAUGUUGCUCUGUAUGACAUCAACUCUGGAAGGAGAAUACAAAUGUUCACUGAUAUGCACCGGGAACAUAUCAAUGUGGUCAAGUUCUCAAACCAUUCCCCGUCAAUUUUUGCUACUUCUUCAUUUGAUCAUGACGUCAAACUAUGGGACUUGAGACAGAAACCAAUACAGCCUUGCUAUACAACUUCAAGCUCUAAUGGAAAUGUGAUGGUUUGCUUUUCUCCAGAUGAUCAUUAUCUUCUUGUAUCUGCUGUUGACAAUGAGGUUCGACAACUUUUGGCAGUUGAUGGGAGGCCACACUUGAAUUUUGAGAUAUCGUCAACUGCAAGUUCACAGAAUUACACUCGCUCCUACUACAUGAAUGGAAGGGAUUAUAUUAUAAGUGGGAGUUGUGAUGAACAUGUGGUCCGUGUCUGCUGUGCUCAAACUGGAAGGCGUCUCAAAGACAUAUCUUUGGAGGGACGAGGCCUGGGGACUUCAAUGUAUGUGCAGUCUUUGAGGGGUGAUCCUUUUAGGGAUUUCAACAUGAGUGUCUUAGCAGCUUACAUGCGUCCAAACUCAAAGUAUGAAAUUGUUAAGGUCAAUUUGCUUGCAUCUUGUGAUCGCUCCAAGGAAUGCUCUUACAGCCAACAUUCACAAUCAUCCAAUGGUAUGGGAGGUUGAACUCCAUCUGCUCACAGGCACAUAUGCAAUUGUCAUACAUCAUAUAUGCAUAUAACAUUGAAUACCCCAUUAUC